rnacentral:rRNA from 1 species
CACGUAGGCGGUCCGCUAAGUCGGGUGUGAAAGCCCUCGGCUCAACCGAGGAAGUGCAUUCGAAACUGACGGACUUGAGUAUGGAAGAGGGUCGUGGAAUUCCCGGUGUAGAGGUGAAAUUCGUAGAUAUCGGGAGGAACACCAGUGGCGAAGGCGGCGACCUGGGCCAAUACUGACGCUGAGGUGCGAAAGCGUGGGGAGCAAACA